AGUGAACGCUGGCGGUAGGCCUAACACAUGCAAGUCGAACGGCAGCACAGUAAGAGCUUGCUCUUACGGGUGGCGAGUGGCAGACGGGUGAGGAAUACAUCGGAAUCUACUUUUUCGUGGGGGAUAACGUAGGGAAACUUACGCUAAUACCGCAUACGACCUACAGGUGAAAGCAGGGGAUCUUCGGACCUUGCGCGAUUGAAUGAGCCGAUGUCGGAUUAGCUAGUUGGCGGGGUAAAGGCCCACCAAGGCGACGAUCCGUAGCUGGUCUGAGAGGAUGAUCAGCCACACUGGAACUGAGACACGGUCCAGACUCCUACGGGAGGCAGCAGUGGGGAAUAUUGGACAAUGGGCGCAAGCCUGAUCCAGCCAUACCGCGUGGGUGAAGAAGGCCUUCGGGUUGUAAAGCCCUUUUGUUGGGAAAGAAAAGCAGCAGGUUAAUACCCCGCUGUUCUGACGGUACCCAAAGAAUAAGCACCGGCUAACUUCGUG
rnacentral:rRNA from 1 species